rnacentral:rRNA from 1 species
UACGUAGGCAGCGAGCGUUGUUCGGAGUUACUGGGCGUAAAGGGUGUGUAGGCGGGUUCUUUUAAGUUUGGUGUGAAAUCUCCCGGCUCAACCGGGAGGGUGCGCCGAAUACUGAGGAACUAGAGUACGGGAGAGGAAAGUGGAAUUCCUGGUGUAGCGGUGAAAUGCGUAGAUAUACAGGAGGAACACCGGUGGUGUAGACGG